UUGGGUCAUACCUGAGGUGGGGAGGGUAGGAGGGGGUGUUGGAGAGAUGGCACUUGGGCGCAGCGAUGUAGAGGUCAGUGCACCACCUCCCACCCCGCCCCUUACCAGUGGUUUUGAUGGUGAGGUUGGGGUUGGAGUGGAGGGAGCAGAGGGCUGUGCGUUUUGUUGGAGAGAAGUUGGAUUGCAUGAGAGGGGCAGAGAGAUUCAGGCAAUUGAUAUCACAAGGGCAGUUGGAGAUGAAGAGGUCGAGAUAGGGUAGGAGGUGGUGGGGUGGUGUCCAGGGAGGUAAGGUUUGUUAGAGGCAGGAGAAAGGGUGGGUUAGACUCCCGGUCAAAGAAAUAGGCCUCAACAUAGGAUGAGGAGAUUUUAAAACUGAUACUCAACUGCCGUGGUCGCCACAAAUUUGUGAUCGGCAAGCUUGAAGCCCAACAAAAAUGAAUACAAAGGAGCUGCUUUAUUACGAGGAAGUGACGUGGGCAUUUACCAGCAUGGUCAGCAUCUGUUGCCUACCCUCUGCAUCCAUCGGUUUAGGUAUAUCAAGAGUGCUGCAGGAAAGGGAGCACCAGGAUCUUGUUCCUUCAGAAGAAAAGCUGGAUCUUCCGCACCCUCUGGAGAAGUGUGACGGUGGAAGAUGGAAAGGAAAACAUGAAGGGGAGGCCGGAAGAGUGCUGAAAUAGCAAGAAAGCAAGAACUCAGAAAGGAAGCACAAAUACAAAAAAGCAAGAGGUGUGAUUGUCAAGAACGCAUGCCAUAUAUUGAAGAAAUACUAGUAAGUGAUGUGCAAAAUACAGGGAAAACUGACAAACACAAGCACAGACAGACCACCAUCUUUGAACACUUCUCCAUUAUUCAUUGAUGAACAGUGGAAAUUUUCAGCCAUUCAAGACAUACACCGAGUGCUAGUAAUACAUCUAACAUGAGGAAAAGAGAGAGACUUGCAUUUAAUUGAAUGUUUGAUCUGGUUAAUUCUUUGUUUAAAGCUACCUUUUUUGAUAAUCUUAAGUAUUUCUAUAUGAAUUGGAUGAAACUGAUUGAAUAACUCAGGUCACAACUUUGGCAGUACCGACAUGAUGGGCUGAACGGCAUCUUCUGAACUGUAGGAUUCUAUGAACUCGCAGUUGUAGCUAACCAUAUAUUCUGCUUCCAGCAUGUUUCUGAUGGACUGCACAUGGAAGUUCUGGUUUCGUCCUUGGCUCAUCAGUUUUUGCAGCUCUUAAAGCAACACAGUUCUCAGUGAUAACUUAACAAGUCAGAUUACUAAGUGUGAAAUGUAUAAACAAGAAUUUCAAAUAUUUUAAGAGUCUGCAUUAUGUACUGGUGGUUUGACAAUUCCUUCAGAACCUGUGAUAUCUUAACAUUUCAGAGGUUUAGACUUCACACUUGGGUGUCUGAAAUCUGUAGAUGUUUUGGAAUCUUGCAUGUUGUUAGCAGUUUGACUGCUGCUGUCUUGGGUUUCUGUAUCCUCAUUAUCUAAGCUUCUCUCUGUGAAUGCUUUACGCAGAGCGGGAGUAUUGUACAGCUCCUCGUUUCUCCACAAUGUUGCUGUAUUAGAUGUUGUGACUUUGUAGGAUUUUGAAAAUGUCUAUGGGUAGCAUGUGUAAAGAUGUAGCUCUCUGACCUCCCAUCCUGUGCAUAGGAGGGAGGAUGUUGCUGGGACUGGAGGGUUUGAGUAAUAAGGAAAGGCUGGGAGGCUUUUCAUUGGAGCAUGGAAGAUUGAGGGGUGACCUUACAGAGAUUUAUAAAAUCAUGAGGGGCGUAGAUAGGAUGAAUAGCAAAACGUGAGGGAGUUCAAAACUAAGGGACAUAUUUUUAGGUGGGAGGAGAAAGACUUUAAAAAGGGACCUGAAGGGCAACAAAGGCUGGUUCAUAGGUGGAAUGAACAGCAAGAGGAAGUGAUAGAUACAGGUACAGUUACAAUGGAAGGAUAUGGGUCAAACGCAGGCAAGUGGGAAUUGGUUAAGUUUGGGAAACUUGGUUGGUAUGGACGAGUUGAACUGAAGGGUGUGUUUCCAUGCUGUGUGACUCUAUGAAUUACAGCGAGGAAUUCUGAUGCCGAACACAAUAUACAAAUAACUGAAUGAGCAGACUGGAAAUUUCCACACCAGCUCCUCACUGGAAAAGGACAGCACUUAGUCAAGGCAGUGAUUCACUCAUAGUCAUGGCUCAGGGCUGAGAAUGUAAGGAGAAAAUCACCUUAAAUGGGCACACCCUUGACGUGAAGGAGCACGUGAAGCAUACAGCACUCUCAGCACAUGAAUGGCACACACAAAUGAUACAAUGGUGGUUUACGAUAUUUUGUAUACACUGCAGUGACUAUAAUGAGUUCAGCCAGGUAGACUGCAAAGAAUAUGAGUUCCCUGAUUAGGAUGUUAACUUGGUUCAAAUUCGGCUGACAGACAUAAAAAGGAACGUCAGUGGUUUGGUUUGCUCAGAGCUGGAUCAAUGCCACAUACUAUGUAUGUAUAAAUAAAGGGUGACUUAGUAAUGGGAUACCACCCUCUGUGAAGUUAUUUCACACACAAGCUAAAAAAAGCAAGUAGUUCCCAAAGGAGAACAAAAUGUGGUAACCAGCCUUGAUUUCCAUAUUCUGCUUGUCUGUUCUGAAUAAAACUCUUUCCAUCACUUUCCAACUCUCCCUUCAGCAUGCAAAAAGUUUUUAACCACUAUCCCUCCCAUGCUUCCUGGAUCAGCCCUUCAAAUUAUAGAUUCCCACCUUCCUUCCCUGGCUGCUUUUCUAAUCUCGGAUUCUCUCAGUGGAGAGGCUGGAGCAAUAAGCAAGGGAGAGGUGAAUCUGAACUGUUCAGAUCUGAAGACUCGAAGCAUGCUUUCUCUCCACAAAUGCUGCCAGACCUGUGGAGUUUUUCCAGCAAUUUCCAUUUUUGUUUCAGAUGUCCAGCAUCCACAGUUCUGAGCCUUUUUUUUAAGGGGUGUAUCUGCAAUUGGAGGAGCAGUGAGCAGGGGAGAGACAGAA